AGAAGAAAACUGUAACAUUGAGAAGAAAUAUGAAGAUCUUAAAAGGCAAUUAGAAAAGAUGGAGAUUGAAAAUGAAGGACUUGCUUGUCAGCUCAAAAAGGAAGAUGAGAGUCUGCAGUGCAGUCAAUUGCAGCUGGAAGAGAAAAUUGCAGAAUAUAAUGGAUUAACCAGACAACUGGAAUCGGCUUUGGAAGAAGAGAGAAAAAUGGGGGCUGAAGAACUGGAAAAGAUGUCAUGCAGAGAACAAGCCCUUCAGACAAAGAUGCUGUUUCUUGAGGCUGAAGUGAGAAAGGGGCAAGAAAAG